rnacentral:lncRNA from 1 species
CCCCGGCCGCAGCCCCCGCGUGAGGGCCGUCCGCCCGCCCGCCUCCCCGCACCCGGCCGCCGCCUUCUCACCGGGAGACGAAGAACAGGGCCCGGAGCUCAGGGCGGGGCGCCGAGGGGUGGAGCCGGCUGCCCCCGCCCCGUCUCCGCCUCUCGUGAAUAAGUAAAAUCUUUUAAGAAAAACAAAACUGUGGAAAGUCUGGCCCCGCGUCGCUGAGCCGGCGACACGGAUUCCCCGGCCUCUGAGGUGGCGGCCGCCGCGGCCUCAGGAGGCCGCGGCCCGCGGCGACGGCCACGGUGCCCUGGUGCCGCCGACAAGGGCCCAGGCGCCCCCGGCCGUCCCGGCAUCUCAGCACGGACACCCCCUCGUGCUCGGGGGCUCCGGGCGGACACCCCGCCUCCAGAGUCACACACGUUCGUAAAGCGUGAAGCCCCGCGGCGGCGGCGGAACUGCGGGACGCGACCUUUUACCCCGCUGCACGCGCAAAAUCCUUGGAAAUGACGUGACCAACGUGCUCUGCUCCUUGUCUGCUCCGAUCCCACCUCCUCCUCCUCCUGGAAGGACGAAAGGCCAGGACGGCCGACCCCACAAGGGGUCCUCCGACCCACGCUGCGAUGGAAAGCGGGUCCAGCCCCGGCUUCUCCGGGCCGCUCACCUGUCCCCAAGGUGGCCGCGGAAGUGCAAGCUCCUGGCUUCCAGCCGACGCACAGCGAGGAGGCCCUGGUACCCGCCCGACACCCGACACCCGCCAAAGGUUUACCCGGCAGGGCCCGCCCACCUCACCCGCGACCGUCAGACACCGGCCAGCGUACCCAGCCUCAGGGAGAGUGCCCCGGAGGCCGCCAGGUUCCCGCCAUCACUUCUGCCACGUCCUGUGCUCAACUUCAAGGGUCUGUCAGGUUAUCAAUACACACGGGAACUUCAGAGCAUCACUUGUGUUAAACUAUUCAUUUUUGUAUGAAACUAAUGUCCUUACAAAAAUAGGUGACACGUAUUGAAAACAGUCCUGUGCCAGUAUUUCCUGCAUAGAUUUCUAAUGCAAACUUGCUAGAAACUAGAGAAAAUACAUCUAAUACGGCAGAUUAUAGUUUUUUUUUGUUUGUUUCAUUCACGGCCGGUCCACCUUAUUUUUAAAGGAAAAGCUUUUUUGGCUACAAUUUUUACAUUAUUAACAACAAUGAAUGGAUUUCUGAUGUUCAGAAGUCUCUAUUUGGCAAGCAGGAGCCUCCAGGGACCAGAAAACAUUUUGCAUUUAAGAGAGUAAUUCUGGGGGGGGAGGGGUGGCUCAGUGGGUUAGGCCUGUGCCUGCAACUCAGGUCAUGAUCCCAGGGUCCUGAGAUCAAGCCCUACACCAGGCUCCCUGCUCAGUGGGGAGCCUGCCCCUCCCCCUGUUUGUGCCCCUCCCAAAUAAAUGCAAUCUUUAAAAAUUUAUUUAUUUUUAA